rnacentral:rRNA from 1 species
AGAGAUGCACUGGGUUUAAAGCGUGCGCAGGCGGUUUUGUAAGACAGAGGUGAAAUCCCCGGGCUCAACCUGGGAACUGUCUUUGUGACUGCAAGGCUGGAGUGCGGCAGAGGGGGAUGGAAUUCCGCGUGUAGCAGUGAAAUGCGUAGAUAUGCGGAGGAACACCGAUGGCGAAGGCAAUCCCCUGGGCCUGCACUGACGCUCAUGCACGAAAGCGUGGGGAGCAAACA